UACGUAGGGGGCUAGCGUUGUCCGGAAUCAUUGGGCGUAAAGAGCGUGUAGGCGGCCCGGUAAGUCCGCUGUGAAAGUCGGGGGCUCAACCCUCGAAUGCCGGUGGAUACUGUCGGGCUAGAGUGCGGAAGAGGCGAGUGGAAUUCCUGGUGUAGCGGUGAAAUGCGCAGAUAUCAGGAGGAACACCGGUGGCGAAGGCAGCUCGCUGGGACGGUACUGACGCUGAGGCGCGAAAGCGUGGGGAGCAAACAGG
rnacentral:rRNA from 1 species